UAGUAGUACGGAAUAAUUGUUGGAAACGGCAACUAAUACCGUAUAUGCCCUACGGGGGAAAAAUUUAUUGCUAUUAGAUGAGCCUAUAUUAGAUUAGCUAGUUGGUGGAGUAAUAGCCUACCAAGGCAAUGAUCUAUAGCUGAUCUGAGAGGAUGAUCAGCCACACUGGAACUGAGAUACGGUCCAGACUCCUACGGGAGGCAGCAGUGGGGAAUAUUGGACAAUGGGCGAAAGCCUGAUCCAGCCAUGCCGCAUGAGUGAAGAAGGCCUUUGGGUUGUAAAGCUCUUUUAGUGAGGAAGAUAAUGACGGUACUCACAGAAGAAGUCCUGGCUAACUCCGUGCCAGCAGCCGCGGUAAUACGGAGAGGGCUAGCGUUAUUCGGAAUUAUUGGGCGUAAAGGGCGCGUAGGCUGGUUAAUAAGUUAAAAGUGAAAUCCCGAGGCUUAACCUUGGAAUUGCUUUUAAAACUAUUAAUCUAGAGAUUGAAAGAGGAUAGAGGAAUUCCUGAUGUAGAGGUGAAAUUCGUAAAUAUUAGGAGGAACACCAGUGGCGAAGGCGUCUAUCUGGUUCAAAUCUGACGCUGAAGCGCGAAAGCGUGGGGAGCAAACAGGAUUAGAUACCCUGGUAGUCCACGCUGUAAAC
rnacentral:rRNA from 1 species